rnacentral:rRNA from 1 species
AUUGAACGCUGGCGGCAUGCCUUACACAUGCAAGUCGAGCGGCAGCACGGGAGCAAUCCUGGUGGCGAGUGGCGAACGGGUGAGUAAUAUAUCGGAACGUGCCCAGUCGUGGGGGAUAACGUAGCGAAAGCUACGCUAAUACCGCAUACGAUCUAUGGAUGAAAGCGGGGGAUCGCAAGACCUCGCGCGAUUGGAGCGGCCGAUAUCAGAUUAGGUAGUUGGUGAGGUAAAGGCUCACCAAGCCGACGAUCUGUAGCUGGUCUGAGAGGACGACCAGCCACACUGGGACUGAGACACGGCCCAGACUCCUACGGGAGGCAGCAGUGGGGAAUUUUGGACAAUGGGCGCAAGCCUGAUCCAGCAAUAGCCGCGUGCAGGA